rnacentral:rRNA from 1 species
AAUAGAUACCCGGGUAGUCCACGCCGUAAACGAUGAGUGCUAAGUGUUAGAGGGUUUCCGCCCUUUAGUGCUGCAGCUAACGCAUUAAGCACUCCGCCUGGGGAGUACGGUCGCAAGACUGAAACUCAAAGGAAUUGACGGGGGCCCGCACAAGCGGUGGAGCAUGUGGUUUAAUUCGAAGCAACGCGAAGAACCUUACCAGGUCUCGACAUCCUCUGACAACUCUAGAGAUAGAGCGUUCCCCUUCCGGAGACAGAGUGACAGGUGGUGCAUGGUUGUCGUCAGCUCGUGUCGUGAGAUGUUGGGUUAAGUCCCGCAACGAGCGCAACCCUUGAUCUUAGUUGCCAGCAUUCAGUUGGGCACUCUAAGGUGACUGCCGGUGACAAACCGGAGGAAGGUGGGGAUGACGUCAAAGUCAUCAUGCCCCUUAUGACCUGGGCUACACACGUGCUACAAUGGAUGGUACAAAGGGCUGCAAGACCGCGAGGUCAAGCCAAUCCCAUAAAACCAUUCUCAGUUCGGAUUGGU